rnacentral:rRNA from 1 species
AUGGAGGGAACUCCUGUCCACCACGCCGGCGACAGGAACAUGGAAAACGCAGUCCACGGUGCCACCAAUGAACAAGAGAUGGUCAGCCCAAAGUCUAUGGUUAAUGCCAUUCUUGGUAACAUUGGUCUGCCUGAUGCAAAUCAAACAAGGACUACAAGAACUACAGUGGACGUGACUGCUUGGCCUCUCGUUUCGAUUAGCCUAUCAUUAAAGUUGGAAACACCAGAAUUGACGCUUGCGUAUGAGUGUGUACAGGCCGAGACAAGCAUUGUAAGGAUCCCAGUUAGAAUGAUGCUUGAUCUCCUGUUAGAGCAUCUUGGGCUUCACAAGGCCAUCUGA